rnacentral:rRNA from 1 species
GUGGGGGAUAUUGCACAAUGGGGGAAACCCUGAUGCAGCGACGCCGCGUGAGUGAAGAAGUAUUUCGGUAUGUAAAGCUCUAUCAGCAGGAACGAAAAUGACGGUACCUGACUAAGAAGCCCCGGCUAACUACGUGCCAGCAGCCGCGGUAAUACGUAGGGGGCAAGCGUUAUCCGGAUUUACUGGGUGUAAAGGGAGCGUAGACGGCAAUGCAAGUCUGGAGUGAAAGCCCAAGGCUCAACCAUGGGACUGCUCUGGAAACUGUGUAGCUUGAGUGCAGGAGGGGUAAGCGGAAUUCCUAGUGUAGCGGUGAAAUGCGUAGAUAUUAGGAGGAACACCGGUGGCGAAGGCGGCUUACUGGACUGCAACUGACGUUGAGGCUCGAAGGCGUGGGGAGCAAACAGG